UUAGUCAUAAAGAGUUUAGUAUGGCGGCAAACGAGCUCUUUCGUUGGAGAGUUGGUGCAAGUUGUUUUUGGCAUUGUCUCAUCGGCCCUCUGUUGUCGCUACUUUUCACUGCAAUGUGCUGCUUGCGUCCAUCUACAGCACUAACCUCAGUAUCAGAUUGGUGGUCGAAUGUAGUGUCAUUGCGAUUCUGGUUCUUCUGCGCUGCUUCGUCAUUGCUCUCUUCUCUGUGUACGGCGUGGUUCGCGUUUGCUACUACAGUGGAAUUGGAAGUGUCCAAGACCAGAGCUAAACUGUAUUUCAAACCGUUUGCAACUCGGUUUUGGGUCUUGAUUGGAAUUCACUGCUUGACUGGCACAGUUACUGGUCUUCUUUCUGAAAGUCUUCAUAAUAAUUUGAGUUAUGCAGUCUUUAUGAGCAUUAAGAGUCAUGAUAGCUUGGAAGAUGCACACAACAUUGGUGUGAUAUGGAAUCAAAGGAUCAGUGGAGCUCUUGGGUGUUGGCUUGGUUUAUAUGCUGCUACAAAGAGCAUCUGGGAAGGAAAGCAUUGUAUUAGAUUUCCUUUACUUCAGCAGCAUCGUCUGUACAGAGCAAAGAAUAAUCUGAGACAUGUAUUUAGUAGUAGUAGUAAAACAGCUUUCCAGGCUAUUGGAUGGUUUUAUGCUGUGAAUAUCAUUGGAAACUUGAUGUUUCUUGAUGUUUUCUUUGGCUGGAAGGAGCUCAUGAAUGUCUCUGUUCUUUGCCAUGGCAUUGUUUUGUCUCUCUUUUUGGGACUGUACUGGAAUAUUGGGAAAUUGCUUUUCAUGGUGUUUUUGACACAGCCUGUUGUAUUUCCAGUAGCAGAAGACUGCAGUCAGCACUGUCUUACUGAAGCCUUAAAGGCAGCUGAUUCACCAAUUGUAAAGCACCUAGCGUAUCUUGAUCUAGUCAGUGUUGCAAACUCCUAUUCAAGGCGGCAAACAGUCUUCAGCGUGAGCCAACCAGGUGGCCAGCCAAAAGUAUGGCAAUCUGUCUCUAAGGAGUGUACAAAACUGUUGAAUGAUUUAACGGUUCAGUUGGGAGUAAAACUUCCUGAGGAGCCAAGUCUUUCACAGCCACAAACUCAAUCUCUACUAGUUGGUCGUUGCCAAAGGGAUUGGAAUGAUAUGCCUUUGCCCAGUGUGCCUGGGCUGUUGAUGUAUAGAAGGAAUCUCGGGCAUCAUGACACUGAGCUUUGGUCUGCUUCUACUGUAUCCCAUGGCCUUUCAGGAAUGGGAAGACAACAAGCUUCACACCAACUUACCAAUAUUUCUAACCGAGCAAGUCAAAGACAUGUUUAUGUUAACAAGCUGCUGGCAUUCAAGAAUGUUGCAAGAAGUGUAGUUGAAAGACUGAUGAAGAAUGCAGCAAUUUCUUAUCUCUUCACUGAACUUCCAAAUGUUGAGCCAAACACUCAUCUUGCUAAUUGCCAGUGUCAAUUAUGGGCUGUUGAAGAAAAUUCCACAAUAUCUUCACUUUGUUGUUUACUUGGACUUUCUCUGGAGCAAGAUCAUGCCAUCAUCAUCAUUGUCAUCAUCAAAUAUUGUUCUAUAUUCAUCUACCACCUCUUGUAAUGAGUUACCAGUAUGAUGAAUUUUGGAAAGAUUAGAAGAAACAGCAUGACAGACUUUCUUGAAAAUAGGACAAACUGUAGACUCGGCAACUCCAAAAAGGUGGCCAAUACUCUCGUAUUCAGCACAGGUAGCUAAAUACGACAGUGUAAUCCUGACAUGCUGAUUAACAGGCAAUCUUUGUCACUGAAUGUAUUUUGAACAUUAUCUGUCCACCAAAGCGAAUUUCUUUUCUUCUGCCUCACAAUUCUGGCAAUGUGUCAGAAACAACACUGUGUGGGUUGGUUAUUGCGUCAUGCAAGGAAGACAAGUAUGGAGUAGUGCAGAUGGAAUUAUCUAAUAUAAUUACUUGUCUACUGUCUCUAUUAAAGGCAGUAGAUCUAUAC